rnacentral:antisense_RNA from 1 species
AUCGAGCAGGUCGGCCUCGCCGAAAUACUCACCGUCGCCCAGCAAGGCAAUCCGUAAGUCCUCGCCAUGAGGACCUUUGCUGAUGACCUCUGCCUGUCCACUGGCCACGAUGAAGAACCGCUGCUUGUCCUUGCCCUCCUCUACGAACAGCUCGUCCACAUCCACCUCUUUUGUUUCAAACGAGCUCACCAGGCGAUGCAGUAUCUCGUCGUCGAACUCAGAAAAGAGCGGAAUGGCCUUCAGGCUCUUGGCUGUAAACGAAGGAACACCAUUAGCAUACUGAAUGGGCAGGCGGUCGUUUUUUCUCAGUUCAACUUUCGUGCGAUUCACGCGGAAGGUACCGCCGCUGACCUGCACCCAGGGCAGGAGUUUCAGGAGCAAACGUGGGGUGAUGGAGCCCAUCUGCGGGGCUGUCUUGGUGGUGGUUGCCAGUCUUCUGGCGGUGGCAGUGGU